rnacentral:rRNA from 1 species
UGAGGAAUAUUGGUCAAUGGGCGAGAGCCUGAACCAGCCAAGUAGCGUGCGGGACGACGGCCCUAUGGGUUGUAAACCGCUUUUGAUUGGGAACAAAGAGCGCCACGUGUGGUGCGUUGCGUGUACCUUUCGAAUAAGCAUCGGCUAAUUCCGUGCCAGCAGCCGCGGUAAUACGGAAGAUGCGAGCGUUAUCCGGAUUUAUUGGGUUUAAAGGGAGCGUAGGCGGGCUGUUAAGUCAGCGGUCAAAUGUCAGGGCCCAACCUUGGCAUGCCGUUGAUACUGGUGGCCUUGAGUUCACACAAGGAAGGUGGAAUUCGUCGUGUAGCGGUGAAAUGCUUAGAUAUGACGAAGAACUCCGAUUGCGAAGGCAGCCUUCUGGGGU